GCACCGCCGCUCGCGCUGCCCCGUCGCGCCGCCGCUCCCCGUCGAGCUGCUGCUCGCCCGCGCCGCCGUUCGCGCUGCUCCCCGUCGCGCUGCUGCUCGCCCGGGCCGCGACGCGCUGCUCCCCGUCGCCCUGCUGCUCGCCCGGGCCGCGACGCGCCGCCGUUCGUGCUGCUCCCCGUCUCUGCAGCCAUGGCCAUGGCUUCGCCUACCUUGCCUGUGCCCGCCGCCUCGUGAGAGAGAGCCAUCGGCCUUCAGCUUCUAUAUCGGGUGGCACAACAAUGGCCGCUGGCUCUGCUGCUUCUAGAUCGGGAACAGAGGAAGAAGAAAGGGUUGCGUCCACGCUGGACCGCCUCGCUGGACGACAUGCUGGCCCGACAGUGGGCCACAAAGCUUGAGGGAGUUUUCUGAAUCUUUAAGUUUCCUGAGGCAAAGUACAGAACGGAGUUCUGAACUGGAGCAAAGAAUUAUCAAUACGGUAAAGGGGUUGUUCUCCGCGAAGGAUGCUGCAGCUGCUAAUGAACAGAUUUAUUUAGACUUGAUUAUAAGGUUGGUCUACUGGAAUCCAAUACUUGCAAAUGAGUAUACUGGAUUGGUUUCCCUCGUCAAGAAAGGAGAUGCUAUAUGUGGCAUGUUAUUUUUGCUAUUCACGCAUUUUAUGUCCCAGAUGGGACCUUUUUGAACAAAUUGUUUGCCUUAUUUACAAGGUAAACUUACUUGUGUACCAUUCGCAUGUGAGCUUGCAAUUCAAUGCCAAUCUAAUGAUUCUGUUGUUCC